CAAGCACCUCGGUAGGUGAGGCGUCUGCAUGGACACAGGCCACUGACCCCGAACGUCGAGAGACGCCCCGGGUCAGGACAGCUCUUCCCGGACCCAAGGGUUGAGCCCAAGUGGCUUCCGGAACGCGGGUUGCGACUUCCGGAUACGCCGUGCAGUGCCGAAGCUCCGACGAGAGGGGUGCCGC
rnacentral:sRNA from 1 species